UUGGCCAGUAUCUUGUUUGUGUGGGAGCUUGCUGUUCAUGAAAAAUACGACUGACGUGGAAGGAGUUGUACUUGAAGGGGACCAGUCCUCUGGAUCUAGGAAGCAGCAGAAGGACGUCGUGUAAAGGAAGAUUGAGCAGAUGGAGAGAUACCAUUAUAAAGACCCUGAAAUGCUGAAGUUUGAUCUCCUUGUGGACACAAAGAGGGAAGAUUCGAAUGCUGUACCAUCCCUGUAUACCAUCUAAUGAGAAAUAAGAUGAUGGUCCACAGACACUUAAACAAACUACAGAAGGACAGGAUUCUGGCUUCAUUUAUGGCUGUCUAAUCCAAAGCGAUGACAUCCUUGGAAAGAGGGUGGAAAACUGAAGACUCAAACUACAAAGUUUCAGGUGAUAAACAUGGCCUGAAAGAAGUACUGGCAAAUUUGGUGGUCAUUUAACUGAAGAGAAUAAUGUUCCUGGUUGUAGUGGUACGGGGUAUUGUUCUGUACCACAAG